GCCCAUUCGGGGUGGAUUAGUGGCGAACGGGUGAGUAACACGUGGGCAAUCUGCCCUUCACUCUGGGACAAGCCCUGGAAACGGGGUCUAAUACCGGAUAACACUUCUUCGGGCAUCUGAAGAGGUUAAAAGCUCCGGCGGUGAAGGAUGAGCCCGCGGCCUAUCAGCUUGUUGGUGGGGUAAUGGCCUACCAAGGCGACGACGGGUAGCCGGCCUGAGAGGGCGACCGGCCACACUGGGACUGAGACACGGCCCAGACUCCUACGGGAGGCAGCAGUGGGGAAUAUUGCACAAUGGGCGAAAGCCUGAUGCAGCGACGCCGCGUGAGGGAUGACGGCCUUCGGGUUGUAAACCUCUUUCAGCAGGGAAGAAGCGAAAGUGACGGUACCUGCAGAAGAAGCGCCGGCUAACUACGUGCCAGCAGCCGCGGUAAUACGUAGGGCGCAAGCGUUGUCCGGAAUUAUUGGGCGUAAAGAGCUCGUAGGCGGCUUGUCGCGUC
rnacentral:rRNA from 1 species